UACAGAGGGUGCAAGCGUUGUUCGGAAUUACUGGGCGUAAAGGGCGUGCAGGCGGUCUGUUAAGUGCAGGGUGAAAGCUCCCGGCUCAACUGGGAGAGGUCCUUGCAUACUGGCGGACUUGAGGGGGGUAGAGGAAAGUGGAAUUCCCGGUGUAGUGGUGAUAUGCGUAGAUAUCGGGAGGAACACCUGUGGCGAAGGCGGCUUUCUGGGCCCUACCUGACGCUGAGACGCGAAAGCGUGGGGAGCGAACCGG
rnacentral:rRNA from 1 species